CAAACAGCUAUGCAGGCUCCUCUAUGAAUCACAUGUGCUGGGAAGAAGGAACUGCUGACAUAUACCAGAUGAGCUAGCAUUACCAUCUUUCCAUAAAGAUUUUUUUUUCUUCUUCCCCAGAAUGGUCUGUACAGCAAAUUGCCAUGCUCUGAAUAUAUGAUUCUGGUGUUGCAGAAUAUAGUUUAUUUAAAUUUCUGUAACAUGAUGGGCUAUUGCAGAAGGAUGACGUGGACAAAUUGGAAAAGGAAAGGUUUCCUACGCUGUUCCCUCAGCACGCCUGCUCUGACCCGAGGCAGAGGUGUGGAGGCUCUCGCAGGAACACCAGCGUUGAAGGAACUUUGACAUAUCGUCUCUUCCCAGGAGCUUGGCCCUGCGCUGCAGCCUCUCCGCGCCGUGCCCGAGGCCAUCCAUCACGGAGCAAGGAGACUUGCCCGUGUGUGAUGACACUAAUUUUCUGACUGAAAAAGCAGACAUGCAACGUGCUUUCCCAUAAGCAGAGUCACAGUCUUCGUACCACGUGCAGCCAGCUGCUGAGUAAGGGUUUGAGCCAAAGCCCACUGAGUCAGAGGGAGCCUCUCCUCGGACAUCAGGAGCCUUCGGAGUCCUUCCGCAGGGGCUCGGGGUCCUUACGCAAUAACUUUAUACAGUGAAGGAUGCUGAUUUGGCCAGUGACCUUCAGAAGAGGGUUCAGAAGAUUAUACCCAGCUUCUACUUCUAAAUAGUCUAGCUUUGAUUUUCAUCACAGUUCCACUUAAGAAACCCAUUAGUAUCUUGUUUACCCUGUUUUUUUUUUUAAUCUUACUAUGACUUUUGAUUUUGUUGCCAACACCUUUCUCAUAGUUUUCAGAGACAAACCAAUAGCUUUAAAGAUUAAUAGUCUGCCCAAAUGCCUGCAGUAUCUCCACAUCUGAUAAAAUAACUACCAGUAAUUCACAAAUCUUUUAAAAUUUGGAAGCGCACGGGGACACAGCAGAAGAACUUCUGUUUUAACGGAGUAGAUAACUCUUUUCAGUGUUUUUUGUAAGAAUAAUCUCUAUACUUUUAGGACAGUGUUCUGUCUUUCUCACUAGCUCUAAUGAAGGUGAAACCCUCACGUUAGCUCUGUAGUAAGACACAACUCAGACCAUUGUUUAUUCCUUAAUUUCUAGUUAAAAAAGUUGUAGGUUUUAUGAAUGCUCAACAGAAUGUGUGGCUCUCUUAGUGUUAUAUAAAGAUUGAAAACAAAUAAUCUUUAAAAACAUAAUUAAUUACUAGCAUUAUGCAUAGUCACUGGAAUUAACUACAUUGUGUAACUCGUACUAUACCUCUCUGCACAGAAAUGCAUCUUGCUCUCCAGAAACGU
rnacentral:lncRNA from 1 species